rnacentral:rRNA from 1 species
UACGUAGGGUGCGAGCGUUAAUCGGAAUUACUGGGCGUAAAGCGUGCGCAGGCGGUUCGCCAAGUCAGGUGUGAAAUCCCCGGGCUUAACCUGGGAAUUGCGCUUGAAACUAGCGGGCUUGAGUGUGGCAGAGGGGGUGGAAUUCCACGUGUAGCAGUGAAAUGCGUAGAGAUGUGGAGGAACACCGAUGGCGAAGGCAGCCCCCUGGGCUAACACUGACGCUCAGGCACGAAAGCGUGGGGAGCAAACAGG